rnacentral:rRNA from 1 species
UCGAGAAUCUUCGGCAAUGGGCGCAAGCCUGACCGAGCGACGCCGCGUGGAGGAUGAAGGCCUUCGGGUUGUAAACUCCUGUCGCUUGUUAAGAAACGACUCCGGUCGAACAGGCCGGAGUCUUGACGUUAGCAAGAGAGGAAGCACCCGCUAACUCCGUGCCAGCAGCGGCGGUAAGACGGAGGGUGCAAGCGUUAUUCGGAGUUACUGGGCUUAAAGGGCUCGUAGGCGGCUGUGUGUGUCCGUGGUGAAAUCCCUCGGCUCAACCGAGGAACGGCUGCGGAAACUGCACGGCUUGAGGGUGGGAGGGGUAAACGGAAUUCCCGGUGUAGCGGUGAAAUGCGUAGAUAUCGGGAGGAACGCCGGUGGCGAAGGCGGUUUACUGGUCCAUUCCUGACGCUGAGGAGCGAAAGCCAGGGGAGCAAACGGGAUUAGAUACCCCGGUAGUCC